rnacentral:rRNA from 1 species
AAUUGGAGGGCAAGUCUGGUGCCAGCAGCCGCGGUAAUUCCAGCUCCAAUAGCGUAUAUUAAAGUUGUUGCAGUUAAAAAGCUCGUAGUUGAAUUUCGGGAUUGACACAUCGGUCGUGCCCUAAGGGGUAUGAACUGGUGUAGUCAAUUUCUCACCUUCUGGAGAACCGCGAUGCCCUUAAUUGGGUGUCACGGGGAACCAGGACCUUUACUUUGAAAAAAUUAGAGUGUUUAAAGCAGGCAUUUUGCUUGAAUACAUUAGCAUGGAAUAAUAAAAUAGGACGGCAUGAUUCUAUUUUGUUGGUUUCUAGGAUCACCGUAAUGAUUAAUAGGGAUAGUUGGGGGCAUUAGUAUUCAAUUGUCAGAGGUGAAAUUCUUGGAUUUAUUGAAGACUAACUACUGCGAAAGCAUUUGCCAAGGAUGUUUUCAUUAAUCAAGAACGAAAGUUAGGGGAUCGAAGACGAUCAGAUACCGUCGUAGUCUUAACCAUAAACUAUGCCGACUAGGAAUCAGACGAUGUUAAUUUUUUAAUGACUCGUUUGGCACCUUACGGGAAACCCCAGUGU